rnacentral:rRNA from 1 species
UGGGGAAUAUUGGACAAUGGGCGCAAGCCUGAUCCAGCAAUGCCGCGUGUGUGAAGAAGGCCUUCGGGUUGUAAAGCACUUUUAUCAGGAGCGAAACGCUGUCGGCUAAUACCCGGCGGAACUGACGGUACCUGAGGAAUAAGCACCGGCUAACUUCGUGCCAGCAGCCGCGGUAAUACGAAGGGUGCAAGCGUUAAUCGGAAUUACUGGGCGUAAAGCGUGCGUAGGCGGUUUCUUAAGUCUGCUGUGAAAUCCCCGGGCUCAACCUGGGAAUGGCAGUGGAUACUGGGAGGCUAGAGUGUGUCAGAGGGUGGUGGAAUUCCCGGUGUAGCGGUGAAAUGCGUAGAGAUCGGGAGGAACAUCAGUGGCGAAGGCGGCCACCUGGGACAACACUGACGCUGAGGCACGAAAGCGUGGGGAGCAAACAGGAUUAGAUACCCUGGUAGUCCACGCCCUAAAGCGAUGCGAACUGGAUGUUGGUCUCAACUCGGAGAUCAGUGUCGAAGCUAACGCGUUAAGUUCGCCGCCUGGGGAGUACGGUCGCAAGACUGAAACUCAAAGGAAUUGACGGGGGUC